rnacentral:rRNA from 1 species
UACGGGGGGAGCAAGCGUUGUUCGGAUUUACUGGGCGUAAAGGGCGCGUCGGCGGCCACCGCCAGUCGGUUGUGAAAUCUCUGGGCUUAACCCAGAAAGGUCAACCGAUACUGCGGGGCUAGAGUGCAGAAGGGGCAACUGGAAUUCUCGGUGUAGCGGUGAAAUGCGUAGAUAUCGAGAGGAACACCUGCGGCGAAGGCGGGUUGCUGGGCUGACACUGACGCUGAAGCGCGAAAGCUAGGGGAGCGAACAGG